UUCCAUAACCCAAUUAACAUAUCCUCCUUCCACAAUUCAAUACAACCAAACCAUGCAAAAUAGUCCAUAACCCUAUUUCCAUCACUUUUCAAUAACAACCAAUACAUAUAAUCCUCUAUCACACAUAUACAUAUGGAAGAGAACAAAGGCAAACAAUAUUCAUACCUUAGAAUUCACCUCUUGAUUAUGCAAUCCUGUUUGCACAAAUAAUAGGUGUCGUUCGAAGCUCUCGAGAUGACAAACGCAGUUAUCGGAUUACUUUGGAAUUUCUACGGUUGAAUCAAAAGUAAUUUAAAGGUCAAAUUUGGCUAGGGUUUGUU
rnacentral:lncRNA from 1 species